GUUUAUGAUGACAACUUUUCUCAGCUCACUCAGAUCAAUUCAUGAUCGAUAACAUUUCCUAUCCAACAUUCAUCAAUUUUAACUGACUUAUUC
rnacentral:snoRNA from 1 species